GUUCUCAGUUUGGCAGCACAUAUACUAAAAUUAGAACAAUACAGAGAAGGUCAGCAUGGCUUUAAGAAAGGGUGAGACAUAAGUUCAUAAAGUGUUCCUUAUUUUU
rnacentral:snRNA from 1 species